rnacentral:rRNA from 1 species
CACGUAGGGUCCGAGCGUUGUCCGGAAUUACUGGGCGUAAAGCGUGCGCAGGCGGUUGGGUCAGUCGCUGGUGAAAGCCCCACGCUCAACGUGGGAAUGGCCAACGAGACGGCCCGACUGGAGGCAGGGAGAGGCCGGUGGAAUUCCGGGUGUAGUGGUGAAAUGCGUAGAGAUCCGGAGGAACACCAGAGGCGAAGGCGGCCGGCUGGACCUGACCCUGACGCUGAGGCACGAAGGUCAGGG